GCCGGGCACGGUGGCACGUGCCUGUAGUCCCAGCUACUCAGGAGGCGGAGGUGGGAGGAUCGCUCGAUCCCAGGAGUUCUGGGCUGUAGUGUACUAUGCCGAUCGGGUGUCCACACUAAGUUUGGCAUCAAUAUGGUGACCUCCCGGGAGUGGGGCACCAUCAGGUUGCCUAAGGAGGGGUGAACCCGCCCAGGUCAGAAACAGAGCAGGUCAAAAUUCCCGUGCUGAUCAGUAGUGGGAUCGCACCUGUGAGUAGCCACUGCACUCCAUCCUGGGCAACAUACCGAGACCCCAUCUCUA
ensembl:misc_RNA Metazoa_SRP Metazoan signal recognition particle RNA